CUAUGCGCCUUGCCAGCCCGCUCAGUCAGAGUUUGAUCCUGGCUCAGGACGAACGCUGGCGGCGUGCUUAACACAUGCAAGUCGAACGGUAAGGCCCCUUCGGGGGUACACGAGUGGCGAACGGGUGAGUAACACGUGAGCAACCUGCCCUUGACUUCGGAAUACCAGCUGGAAACAGCUGCUAAUACCGGAUAUGACACUUGCCCUCAUGGGUGGGUGUGGAAAGCUCCGGCGGUCAGGGAUGGGCUCGCGGCCUAUCAGCUUGUUGGUGAGGUAAUGCUCACCAAGGCUUCGACGGGUAGCCGGCCUGAGAGGGCGACCGGCCACACUGGGACUGAGAUACGGCCCAG
rnacentral:rRNA from 1 species